GGGGAAUAUUGCACAAUGGGGGAAACCCUGAUGCAGCGACGCCGCGUGAGCGAAGAAGUAUCUCGGUAUGUACAGCUCUAUCAGCAGGGAAGAAAAAAAUGACGGUACCUGACUAAGAAGCCCCGGCUAACUACGUGCCCGCAGCCGCGGUAAUACGUAGGGGGCAAGCGUUAUCCGGAUUUACUGGGUGUAAAGGGAGCGUAGACGGAGCAGCAAGUCUGAUGUGAAAGGCAGGGGCUCAACCCCUGGACUGCAUUGGAAACUGUUGAUCUUGAGUACCGGAGGGGUAAGCGGAAUUCCUAGUGUAGCGGUGAAAUGCGUAGAUAUUAGGAGGAACACCAGUGGCGAAGGCGGCUUACUGGACGGUAACUGACGUUGAGGCUCGAAAGCGUGGGGAGCAAACAGG
rnacentral:rRNA from 1 species